GAUGAACGCUGGCGGCGUGCCUAAUACAUGCAAGUCGAGCGAACGGACGAGAAGCUUGCUUCUCUGAUGUUAGCGGCGGACGGGUGAGUAACACGUGGAUAACCUACCUAUAAGACUGGGAUCACUUCGGGAAACCGGAGCUAAUACCGGAUAAUAUUUUGAACCGCAUGGUUCAAAAGUGAAAGACGGUCUUGCUGUCACUUAUAGAUGGAUCCGCGCUGCAUUAGCUAGUUGGUAAGGUAACGGCUUACCAAGGCAACGAUGCAUAGCCGACCUGAGAGGGUGGUCGGCGACACUGGAGCUGAGACACGGUCCAGACUCCUACGGGAGGCAGCAGUAGGGAAUCUUCCGCAAUGGGCGAAAGCCUGACGGAGCAACGCCGCGUGAGUGAUGAAGGUCUUCGGAUCAUAAAACUCUGUUAUGAGGGAAGAACAUAUGUGUAAGGAACUGUGCACAGCGUGACGGUACCUAAUCAGAAAGCCACGGCUAACUACGUG
rnacentral:rRNA from 1 species